rnacentral:rRNA from 1 species
GACGAACGUUGGCGGCGUGCUUAACACAUGCAAGUCGAACGGAAAGGCCCUGCUUUUGUGGGGUGCUCGAGUGGCGAACGGGUGAGUAACACGUGAGUAACCUGCCCUUGACUUUGGGAUAACUUCAGGAAACUGGGGCUAAUACCGGAUAGGAGCUCCUGCUGCAUGGUGGGGGUUGGAAAGUUUCGGCGGUUGGGGAUGGACUCGCGGCUUAUCAGCUUGUUGGUGGGGUAGCGGCUUACCAAGGCUUUGACGGGUAGCCGGCCUGAGAGGGUGACCGGCCACAUUGGGACUGAGAUACGGCCCAGACUCCUACGGGAGGCAGCAGUGGGGAAUAUUGCACAAUGGGCGGAAGCCUGAUGCAGCAACGCCGCGUGCGGGAUGACGGCCUUCGGGUUGUAAACCGCUUUCGCCUGUGACGAGGCGUGAGUGACGGUAAUGGGUAAAGAAGCACCGGCUAACUACGUGCCAGCAGCCGCGGUGAUACGUAGGGUGCGAGCGUUGUCCGGAUUUAUUGGGCGUAAAGGGCUCGUAGGUGGUUGAUCGCGUCGGAAGUGUAAUCUUGGGGCUUAACCCUGAGCGUGCUUUCGAUACGGGUUGACUUGAGGAAGGUAGGGGAGAAUGGAAUUCCUGGUGGAGCGGUGGAAUGCGCAGAUAUCAGGAGGAACACCAGUGGCGAAGGCGGUUCUCUGGGCCUUUCCUGACGCUGAGGAGCGAAAGCGUGGGGAGCGAACAGGCUUAGAUACCCUGGUAGUCCACGCUGUAAACGGUGGGUACUAGGUGUGGGGUCCAUUCCACGGGUUCCGUGCCGUAGCUAACGCUUUAAGUACCCCGCCUGGGGAGUACGGCCGCAAGGCUAAAACUCAAAGGAAUUGACGGGGCCCCGCACAAGCGGCGGAGCAUGCGGAUUAAUUCGAUGCAACGCGUAGAACCUUACCUGGGUUUGACAUGGAUCGGGAGUGCUCAGAGAUGGGUGUGCCUCUUUUGGGGUCGGUUCACAGGUGGUGCAUGCCUGUCGUCAGCUCGUGUCGUGAGAUGUUGGGUUAAGUCCCGCAACGAGCGCAACCCUUGUUCACUGUUGCCAGCACGUUAUGGUGGGGACUCAGUGGAGACCGCCGGGGUCAACUCGGAGGAAGGUGGGGAUGACGUCAAGUCAUCAUGCCCCUUAUGUCCAGGGCUUCACGCAUGCUACAAUGGCUGGUACAGAGAGUGGCGAGCCUGUGAGGGUGAGCGAAUCUCGGAAAGCCGGUCUCAGUUCGGAUUGGGGUCUGCAACUCGACCUCAUGAAGUCGGAGUCGCUAGUAAUCGCAGAUCAGCAACGCUGCGGUGAAUACGUUCCCGGG